rnacentral:rRNA from 1 species
UGCGUAGGUGGUUUUGUAAGUUAGUAGUGAAAUUCCGUUGCUCAACGACGGCGCUACUACUAAGACUGCAGGACUUGAGUGCAGGAGAGGUAAGCGGAAUUCCUAGUGUAGCGGUGGAAUGCGUAGAUAUUAGGAGGAACACCAGUGGCGAAAGCGGCUUACUGGUCUGUAACUGACACUGAGGCACGAAAGCGUGGGGAGCAAACA